rnacentral:rRNA from 1 species
GACAGAGGGGGCAAGCGUUGCUCGGAAUUACUGGGCGUAAAGGGAGCGUAGGCGGGUUCUUAAGUAAGGUGUUUAAUCCCGGGGCCCAACCCCGGACCGGCACUUUAAACUGGGAAUCUUGAAUAGUGGAGAGGUCGGUGGAAUUGGGGGUGUAGCGGUGGAAUGCGUAGAGAUCCCCAAGAACACCAGUUGCGAAGGCGGCCGACUGGACACAUAUUGACGCUGAGGCUCGAAAGCAUGGGGAGCAAACAGG